rnacentral:rRNA from 1 species
GAUGAACGCUGGCGGCGUGCUUAAUACAUGCAAGUCGAGCGAGGACCACCUGGUGGCAACACCGGGUGACUCCUAGCGGCGAACGGGUGAGUAACACGUGGGCAACCUGCCCCCGACUCUGGGAUAAGCCCGGGAAACUGGGUCUAAUACCGGAUACGAGCCUCCUCCGCAUGGUGGAGGUUGGAAAGGGUCUCCGGUCGGGGAUGGGCCCGCGGCCUAUCAGCUUGUUGGUGGGGUAACGGCCCACCAAGGCGACGACGGGUAGCUGGUCUGAGAGGACGACCAGCCACACUGGGACUGAGACACGGCCCAGACUCCUACGGGAGGCAGCAGUGGGGAAUCUUGCGCAAUGCGCGAAAGCGUGACGCAGCAACGCCGCGUGGGGGAAGAAGGCCUUCGGGUUGUAAACCCCUUUCAGUUGGGACGAAGCUUCGCCGGUUAAUAGCCGGCUGGAGUGACGGUACCUUCAGAAGAAGCUCCGGCCAACUAC